rnacentral:pre_miRNA from 1 species
UUUCAAACUUUAGGGAGUUGAUUCUGUCGUUUUAAAUUUUUUCUGCAAUUAAACGCACUCUAGAAGUGUCUGACACACGCACAUUAGAAGUGCGUGACAAACGCACUUUUAAAGUGCGUGCACUUUUAAGGGGGGUUUGUCACGCACUUCUAAAGUGCGUUAACUACGCACUUUUAAAAUACGUUGAAUUGUAGAAAAAAUUUAAAACGAUAGAAUCAACUCCAUAAUGUUUGAAA